GACGAACGCUGGCGGCGUGCUUAACACAUGCAAGUCGAACGGAGUGGCGAACGGGUGAGUAACACGUGGGUGACCUGCCCUGCACUUCGGGAUAAGCCUGGGAAACUGGGUCUAAUACCGGAUAGUGUGGGAUGGGCCCGCGGCUGAUCAGCUUGUUGGUGGGGUAAUGGCCUACCAAGGCGGGGCCGGGUAGCCGGCCUGGGAGGGUGGACGGCCACAGUGGGACUGAGACACGGACCAGACGGCUACGGGAGGCAGCAGGGGGGAAUAUUGUGCAAGGGGAGGAAGUCUGAUGCAGAGACGCCGCGUGGGGGAUGACGGCCUGCGGGGUGUAAACUCCUUUAACCAUAGACGCGGUAGAUGGAGAAGAAGCACCGGCUAACUACGUGCCAGCAGCCGCGGUAAUUC
rnacentral:rRNA from 1 species